rnacentral:lncRNA from 1 species
UUCUGAUUUCUGUGUACUUUAAUUAAUGCAAACACUUGAAUGGUAAAUAUGUGGCUCGUAUAUACGGGCUCCCUGUAAACCCCGCAGGGCAGACAGAGAACACUGGUAUGACAUCACAAGUUCUUCCUUAAAUACUGGACAGACUUAGUUCCCUCUCCAUGAGGGCCUGUCAUAGUAGAGGCUAGAAUAUGGUUUAGACUUAUUCCAGCCUAUCGUUGGCGUGCAGGUUGGUCCCAACCUCUAGACGCACUCCUGUUUCCUGGCGUAGCUGUUGUCUCUGGCGGAUGUCUCAUCUUGUGACUGCAAAAUGCACAGUUCUCUAAAACCCUUACACCCCCCUGCAUAUACCUUUCACCCAUAUCCUGUUAUUGCUAUUAUUCUACAGAAAAGCUCUUGCAAAACCCUGUUUUAAAGCAUCAGCAUUCUGUCCACAUGACCCACCAUCACAUGAGCCACUUCCUCUAACAUAUAGCAGUAUUCAAUUAUCUUAUAGUUAAUAAACUUAUCAUUAUAGCAUCUGUGUUAUAUUAUAUAGGUUAUGCAAACAAAUUGUUAUAUUAUAUAGUAUAUGGACACAAAUAGUUGGUCAAACCCUAACAAUCCCCCUUUUCACAGCUGAUAGGUGUGAAUACAUAAGUUCUUAAAAUUUCAGGGAAAUUUUGAGAUUCCCCCUUUUGACACCCCCUAGGGUGUCACUCAACACAAUUGUAAAUUUUCGAUUUAAUGAUUAGAUGAGUAGUUAAAAACCCUCACGUCCUUCCGGCUACACCUAACUUGUACUAGGUUGACUACCAGUCACCCAGGAACUUCAAACCCUCACAUCAGGAAAGACAAAUAGUACACAGGAUAUAUUCAGAACAUAUUAUUCAAAACGUAUAAAAAGAAGACCUUCUUGCGGCAGGGGCUACACCUAACAUGUGUGGGACAGACUCUUUGUCCCAGAACUUAAAACCUUCACAUCCACCUGUCACUACAUUCAACACAUAUAAGAACAUUUUGGAUAAGCUUUAUUCUACCACUUCCUCAACAGCAAACCAAGGAUCGUCCUCAGACAGACCCCUCCUUUGCCCAGAGGUUGAUUCAGUAUCCACUGGGGUCACUUCCAUCAAGGGCAUCAUUCCGGUUGCCCAUCUGCUCCGUUAUCAAUCUCUCCAGAACCCUGGAAAUGAGACCUCUCGCACACGGGACCAGACAACAACCACACAACACAAACACACUCAUACCGGUGAAAGCAGCCCAUAACACAGUGAUUAUAACAUUUUUCCAUUUUUCCAAACAUACUAUCGCAUCACCCAGUCAGUGAGACAUCCGCCAGAGACAACAGCUACGCCAGGAAACAGGAGUGCGUCUAGAGGUUGGGACCAACCUGCACGCCAACGAUAGGCUGGAAUAAGUCUAAACCAUAUUCUAGCCUCUACUAUGACAGGCCCUCAUGGAGAGGGAACUAAGUCUGUCCAGUAUUUAAGGAAGAACUUGUGAUGUCAUACCAGUGUUCUCUGUCUGCCCUGCGGGGUUUACAAAACCCUGUUUUAAAGCAUCAGCAUUCUG